ACUAACUUAACAUAUAUUAAUGUGAAAGAUUGUAAAUCUUUUAAAAGCGAGAUGCUAGUUAGAA
rnacentral:tRNA from 1 species